AUUUCAGCAACAAGUUCCUCAAUAUCAAUAGAUGACGAGCCUUUAGGUUUUGUUGAGAUAUCCGCAAUUUUCUUACACUCUAUAGCCUUCUUUCUCAUUUUCACACCCUCAACCCCAUCCAUUAACUCCCUUACAAGCUUCUCCACUUCAUCUCUCUUCACAUUCCUCCCAAUCUCCAUCCCAACUUCCCAUUCCUUGCACAUUUGUGCACAAUUAGUCCGUUGGUCACCUGAAAAUGGGCAACAGAUCAUGGGCACCCCAGCAGACAAGCUCUCAAUGACAGAACCCCACCCACCAUGAGUUAAGAAACCACCAACCGAAUGGGUGGUUCAGCACCUCUUCUUGUGAACACCAGCUUGCAAUAAAGCCUCUCCUUUUAAUCUCCUCCUCGAGUUCUUGAGGUAAAGUCACAGGCUUCCCAUCAACCAAAUCG
rnacentral:lncRNA from 1 species